rnacentral:rRNA from 1 species
AGAGUUUGAUCAUGGCUCAGAAUGAACGCUGGCGGCGUGCCUAACACAUGCAAGUCGAGCGGGAAAUCACACUUCGGUGUGAGAGUAGAGCGGCGCACGGGUGAGUAACGCGUGGAUAAUCUACCCAUGGAUUGGGGAUAACCCUGCGAAAGCGGGGCUAAUACCUGAUAGUCUGGUCAUUAUAUAGAUGAUCGGUAAAGGUGGCCUCUGAUACAAGCUACUGUCCGUGGAUGAGUCCGCGUCUCAUUAGCUGGUUGGUGGGGUAAUGGCCUACCAAGGCGACGAUGAGUAGCUGGUCUGAGAGGAUGAUCAGCCACACUGGGACUGGAACACGGCCCAGACUCCUACGGGAGGCAGCAGUGGGGAAUAUUGGGCAAUGGGCGCAAGCCUGACCCAGCAACGCCGUGUGAGGGAAGAAGGUUUUCGGAUCGUAAACCUCUGUCAGAAGGGAAGAAGUGGCAGAUAUUUAAUAUAUAUUUGCUUUGACGGUACCUUCAGAGGAAGCACCGGCUAACUCCGUGCCAGCAGCCGCGGUAAUACGGAGGGUGCAAGCGUUAUUCGGAAUCACUGGGCGUAAAGCGCGCGUAGGUUGCGUGGUAAGUCAGAUGUGAAAGCCC